UACGUAGGGGGGCGAGCGUUGUCCGGAAUCAUUGGGCGUAAAGCGCGUGUAGGCGGCUCGAUAAGUCCGGUGUGAAACCUUGGGGCUCAACCCCAAGCCUGCACUGGAUACUGCCGAGCUAGAGUCCGGGAGGGGAGAGCGGAAUCCUAGUGUAGCGGUGAAAUGCGCAGAUAUUAGGAAGAACACCGGUGGCGAAGGCGGCUCUCUGGAACGGUACUGACGGCUGAGACGCGAAAGCGUGGGGAGCGAACAGG
rnacentral:rRNA from 1 species